rnacentral:misc_RNA from 1 species
GCCCUUUAAUUUUGCCGUUAGUAUAUUACAAAAAGACCAAACUACCCUUAUCUCCUAAGUUUAUAUCCUUGUCGGACCUCAUCCCUUGCUCAUUUCCUCAACGGCUUGCCAUUCUUCAACAAAUCAAUUACACUCAUUUAGAAAAAAAUUAUUCCUUCUUGCCAAGUAUCCUUCAUGGCUUCCCCUGCAUUGAACAAUUCCAUCUCUACCUUUUUCUUGCGUUGAGAAAUAUCCCCUGUAUUAAGAAAAUGACACCACUGUUGAGCUUAAGUUUGAGUUUUAAGAGCUUAGAUC